UACAGAGGUCUCAAGCGUUGUUCGGAUUCAUUGGACGUAAAGGGUGCGUAGGCGGCGCGGUAAGUCGGGUGUGAAAUCUCGGAGCUUAACUCCGAAACUGCAUUCGAUACUGCCGUGCUUGAGGACUGGAGAGGAGACUGGAAUUUACGGUGUAGCGGUGAAAUGCGUAGAUAUCGUAAGGAAGACCAGUGGCGAAGGCGGGUCUCUGGACAGUUCCUGACGCUGAGGCACGAAGGCCAGGGGAGCAAACAGG
rnacentral:rRNA from 1 species